GAGCGUUACGUCCGCGCUGAUAAUGCAAUAGUGGAUGAAGCGAGCCGCAGCUCUGAAGAACAGCACGCUCCGCGCUUUGCUCAGCCAAAACAAUUCACGUCGAAGAACAUCCGCUGAUGACAUGCACUUGCCCCCAGCGACCCAUUUUCUCCUUUCGCUAAACCUCAAGGUCCUUCGCCGUUAAUGUCACUGGAGGAACGUGCACUGAUGUGACACAGUGGAUUGGGUGAACGCGCUUUCACGUUUAUCAGCUCGGACAAUAUUGUCGCAUAAUGAUGCGCUUCUUUUGAUGUCUGCGAAGCUGUCUGAACACGAAUAUAUUUGUCAGUAAGUCUGCUUUCCAGCGGGGCACAUCCGAUUUCCUGUCUACAUACCACCAGCUCUCUUCAGUCUGUCUUGAUAGAGGAAAUUGGAUAAGGAUGGAUCCAGAGCAGCAAAUUCAAAGCCAGUGCAAGACUAAUGAUCUGGAAUCAUCUGCACAACCAAAAGGACCAGCAGAUCCAUCUUUCCUUGCCCCUUCUACACCACCGACGGCUCCAGCCAGGCCUCGGCGGCCCCAGAGGAGCCCGCGAGUGGAAGGAUCCUUUGACGUAUCGGAGCUCAAACCUCCAGAAUCUCCUGAAGAGCAGCAGCUGAGCAGCCGUGCUGAACCGACCGAGCCCAACAGCUCCAGUCAGCCCUCAGAACUCAGUGUUGAUCAUGGACCUCCACAUCCGGCUGAACAGAAGCUUUUAGGACACGCUGCAGUGUCUCGGAGCCACAUUUCAAUGAGGGCCGCCUCGCUUCCUCAGACCCCGUCUUACAGACCACCUCUGACUGACGCCACCCUGCACCCGCAGAGGGCCCUGUCUGUCGCUGGGACCGCCGACACGCAGACGCAGGUGGUGGAGGAUUUCAGGUACGAUUUCAACAUUGUGUUGUGGUUUCAGUUUCAUAUGGCAAUUUCAGUUUCUGGCCAAGAGUGGAAAAUAUAACUGCUAAAUAAAUGCUGCAUAGGUGCUCAAUAGACACUUU
ensembl:lncRNA